GGCUGGUUAGCUCAGUUGAUUAGAGCGUGGUGCUGAUAACACCAAGGUCACGGGUUCAAUCCCUGUUCGGUCC
rnacentral:tRNA from 1 species